rnacentral:lncRNA from 1 species
UAGCAAAUGACUUGCAGAGAGUUCAGUACAUCCCUGUAAACAAGAUGUAACAAUCCAAGAACAACGAGGAACUGAGUAGAUGUUUGUUCCUCCCAGGAUGUUUUCAGUUCCCAGGAUGUUUCUUGUCCUGGAGAAUCACAGCUUCCCCGGAUCAUUGAGGUCUCAGUUUUGACUGAGGCCAAAAUGGAAUUAUGUCUGGGAAUUCCAUAGCUGGGCUGUAGGCAGGAGAACCUAGGCUAACUGAAUGAUUUUUCCCUAAAAUUAUGUAACAUUGCUCCCGACACUUCUCAAAGUCUCAUUUUUCUACCUUUCCUGUAAUUCACCAUGUACUGCCGGGCCUCGAAGGAGACUAGGACUUACUGCAGAGGUUCUGGUAACGUCCGCUUUCCCUGUUCCCUACAGCCAAGGUUCUUUUCCCUUUUGAUCUUAGCAAACCAAGCUUUGCAGGGUACAGUGUGAAGAGGAGGUGCAGCCUCCGCAGACCGUCAGCUUUUUAUGGGUGGUUAAGCCUGUUCUGCCAGCUAUAUGAAUUCCUUUGGGGAGGGGCUCAUCUCUCCCUUCCUAGGGGUCUCUAUCCCUACAGGGCUAUAGGCUUUUCUAUUACAUGGAGACUCAGGUUAUGGAACCCCAAGACAUGAGCUCACUUCCUUGGCAACAUCUCCAAACAGAACUUGGAACCCUUGCUAACAAGCAUCACAAUCUAGUAACAGCCAUCUCCCAAGCUCAUGUGGCCCGAGACGGUCAACAGCGAACAUGUUGAGCUGCUUCUCCACUUCCAGAGGCCGCAGCCUCAGGACCCCAGGUAGAGAAAGUAUCUGUGAAAGACUAAGAAGAUGGCUGACUCCAUCCAGAUGCCACAGGCCACACUGUAGCAGCCACAUGACUGUCACAGACACCCCAGGGACAGUCUCCCCUGCAGUGACCACCAGUGACCUACCAAAAUCAAGUGUAACAUCCUUGAAGAUCCGGCAGAACUCCAUAUUCCACAGAGUCUCAUCAUCCCAAUCCUUGCAGGCAAGAAGAAUGGCUCCCAGGACACUCCUUCUCCAGUUAGUAGGACAGCUAUCAAUCUCAGUGUAAGACAAAAGCCUUUCUAUAAAAACCAAGGUUGUUAUUGCACAUUCAGUUGGUAAGCGUGUGGCACUAAAAAUAAUAGCAACAAAUCCGUAAAUACACGUGUUCAGGAUCAUGCUCAAAGUAUUCCUCUGGAAGCUUUUCUCUUGUGAGUGGAUGCAAUUGCUCAUCAAAAAUAUCCAGGCAUCUGUUUGCAUCUCUGUUCUUUAUGAGGUAAUAUAUUGCUAGGCUCACACAUUUUACCAUUAUUCUAGGAAUAGGCUGGCUGAGUGUACUGUGAUCUACAACUAUUGUUGAGAAUGAGCUAUAUUUCCUAGUAAGCUGCCCUGGAGAUACACGGAUGAAGUUGUUGUAUAUCAUCUGAGCAUCCACAUAUGCUUGACAUUUGUUCAGGAAAAUUGUGCUUGCCCUUGGAUGGUCAAAGGUACAAAGCUACAAAGCUACACUGUCUGGGCUCCUGGGUCCUCCUCCCAAGCGGAUCCUCCUCAGGCUCUGGCUCCC